GUAAAUUUUAAAAUAAUAAUGUUAUGAGUACGGAAGUAAACAUUUUUUACAAAAUUGAUAAAUUUGUUGUUCAUAGUUCGAGUACAGUAGUAAAUAUUCAUUGUCAUACUAAAUGCUUAUGAAAGGUGGUACAUAUUAAAAAUAGUGACACGAGAUAUAACAUAAAAUAAGUAAACAUUGAAUUACAGAAAUGCAAAAUUGUGUUAACAGGUCAAAUUAAUUCAAAAGUCCGAUUUAAUUUGAGAGUACUCGCCGUGACUGAGUGACAGUGCAAGCUAGUUAAAAGCCAAAAACAAUUAACAAUAAAAAUUCAUGCAUCGGAGACUAAAAUCAAUUAAAACAUAUCCAAGAGAGUUUUAACGCCAUAGACAACAUGACUUGUGCAGUGCCAAUAUCAAAGUAUCGACAGGCAGUAGGAUCAAACCUUGAUUUGACAUGCACAUUUAAAAAAGUCACAUAAGUUGAUGCGCCCUAAACUACCUUCAUCCAAUUUUAACCUGAUUCGGGGUGAACGAAGGUAUGGACUUACGAACGAACGAUCGGACUGGAAAAUAUCACUGUCAUAUAGUGUUUAGUAUAGUAAUUUUGUCAUAGUUUGGUUAAUUUGCUCAUGGUUUAGUUGGAUUACUUCCCAGAACGAUUGCAUCAGUUCUUUUCAAAUGACUAAAUAAAAGGCAAAUAAGAUGUUUUAAUAAUUAUUGUAAGUAAAACGACCUACAUUGAAAUUGGUGUUUUAAGAAAUUAACGCAGGAUAACCAAAAUAUCGAAAUUGGUAACGUUUGGUUAAGCGAAUGACAUGGUUAUGUUACGUGUCUUAGAAAUUGGUCAUGGUUUUAAUCAAAUUUGCCAUGGUUUAGAUCUAAUAAAUACAUAUAUGUUUCACCUUAAUAUUGAUAGUUUGUUUGAAGCCGCUUGUGAAAGAACGAAGGUACACAAUUUACUAAUUAACUAAGAAGAAAAAUCCUUUUUAACCUUUGGUGGAUGUAAUCUGCAAACCGUACGUUAUACAUUUUUACUUUUCUCGUGUUUCCUAAGAUAGAAUUAAUAUAGCCACUGCUCUUUUAACUGACAUUACAUCAAAUAAAUAACAGAAAUCGUUGUUUCUGUUUCCACCAAAAAAUAUCUCCGUAUGUUCAUUGUAAUCUCUGACGGGGGUUUCGUAGGCGAUGUCGCUAGUCAAAGACGUCUACAUAAAGUUGCAAAACGUAGCAAGCUUGUCAAAUAAAAAAGUUUAUAUUUAUUUUUCAGGCAGUAAUUGGGCCCCGCCUAUGAAAAUUUCGGAGACGCUCUGAUUAUCACUGUAAUUUCUUUAUAAAUGCAUGUUCUAUAAUAAUAACUAUGUUACAUUGAAUCUGAUAGGACAAGGAUACAUAUUAUGCCAAUGCAUGAAUAUUGAUAACUAACCAUAAAAAGAUUCAUAUCAAGGCAUAAAUCCAAUUAAGGCUAGGCAUAAGUAAUUAUGUCUAGGCAGGGCGGUUGGAGGUUUUGAGAAGCGUUUUUGAACAUUAUAGAGGUUUUUCUUGUUAUACCAAACUUUAAAUUUUUCUUUAAGUUUUUCAAUAAUUGAGGCACAUUGUUUGAUCAUCCAAAAACUUUUUAGAUUAGUUUAAUUAUUUAAUUUACAGAUCUUAUCCAUCCGUUUUGUAAUUGCUACAUCUAUUUCACUAGCCGGCUUAUCAUGCAUGUGCGAGAGUAAAGUCUUGUGUUCUAAAUAAGGCUGUUUUGUGGCAUUUUUUUUUUUCGUGAGAUUUUUAUUCACCAUUUGCUUAAACCCAAUUCUGAACUGGUUUCUUAACAAACUGUUC
rnacentral:lncRNA from 1 species